CAAGGGUAGGGAUGCUCAGCGCCCGACCUCCAACCCUUUGUUGUUAAACUACCUUGUUGCUUUGGCGGGACCGCUCGGUCUCGAGCCGCUGGGGAUUCGUCCCAGGCGAGCGCCCGCCAGAGUUAAACCAAACUCUUGUUAUUUAACCGGUCGUCUGAGUUAAAAUUUUGAAUAAAUCAAAACUUUCAACAACGGAUCUCUUGGUUCUCGCAUCGAUGAAGAACGCAGCGAAAUGCGAUAAGUAAUGUGAAUUGCAGAAUUCAGUGAAUCAUCGAAUCUUUGAACGCACAUUGCGCCCCUUGGUAUUCCGAGGGGCAUGCCUGUUCGAGCGUCAUUACACCACUCAAGCUAUGCUUGGUAUUGGGCGUCGUCCUUAGUUGGGCGCGCCUUAAAGACCUCGGCGAGGCCACUCCGGCUUUAGGCGUAGUAGAAUUUAUUCGAACGUCUGUCAAAGGAGAGGAACUCUGCCGACUGAAACCUUUAUUUUUCUAGGUUGACCUCGGAUCAGGUAGGGAUACCCGCUGAACUUAAGCAUAUCAAUAAGCGGAGGAA
rnacentral:rRNA from 1 species